UACAGAGGUCUCAAGCGUUGUUCGGAUUCAUUGGGCGUAAAGGGUGCGUAGGCGGCGCGGUAAGUCGGGUGUGAAACCUCCAGGCUCAACCUGGAGACGCCACUCGAUACUGGCGUGACUAGAGUUCGGUAGGGGAUCACGGAAUUCCUGGUGUAGCGGUGAAAUGCGCAGAUAUCAGGAGGAACACCGGUGGCGAAGGCGGUGAUCUGGGCCGACACUGACGCUGUAGAGCGAAAGCGUGGGGAGCGAACAGG
rnacentral:rRNA from 1 species